GAUGAAGAACGUAGCGAAAUGCGAUAAGUAAUGUGAAUUGCAGAAUUCAGUGAAUCAUCGAAUCUUUGAACGCACAUUGCGCCCGCCAGUAUUCUGGCGGGCAUGCCUGUUCGAGCGUCAUUACAACCCUCAGGCCCCCGGGCCUGGCGUUGGGGAUCGGCGGAGCCCCCCGUGGGCACACGCCGUCCCCCAAAUGCAGUGGCGGUCCCGCCGCAGCUUCCAUCGCGUAGUAGCUAACACCUCGCGACUGGAGAGCGGCGCGGCCACGCCGUAAAACACCCAACUAUUCUGAAGUUGACCUCGAAUCAGGUAGGAAUACCCGCUGAACUUAAGCAUAUCAAUAAGCGGAGGA
rnacentral:misc_RNA from 1 species